rnacentral:misc_RNA from 1 species
UCCUCGUUGACCGAGGCAGUCUCGCGUGAAAAUCCAACACACGACAAGGGUUGCGCUCGUUGCGGGACUUAACCCAACAUCUCACGACACGAGCUGACGACGACCAUGCAGCACCUGUCACCGGUCCAGCAGACUGACUCCCGUGUUUCCACGGGAUACGACCGGGAUGUCAAGCCCUGGUAAGGUUCUUCGCUUAGUGUCGAAUUAAACCACACGCUCCACCGCUUGUGCGGGUCCCCGUCAAUUCCUUUGAGUUUUAGCCUUGCGGCCGUACUCCCCAGGCGGGGUACUUAACGCGUUAGCUUCGAUACCCAGGGGGUCUAUGCCCCAGAUACCUAGUACCCAUCGUUUACGGCGUGGACUAC